AUUGAACGCUGGCGGCAUGCCUAACACAUGCAAGUCGAACGAGUGGCGGACGGGUGGGUAAUGUCUGGGAAUCUGCCUGAUGGUGGGGGAUCACUACUGGAAACGGUAGAUACUACCGCAUCCUACCGGAUGCGCCCAGAUGGGUUUCGCUAGUAGGUGGGGUAACGGCUCCCCUAGGCGACGAUCCCUAGCUCGUCUGCGAGAGUGACCAGCCACACUGGAACUGAGACACGGCCCAGACUCCUACGGGAGGCAGCAGUGGGGAAUAUUGCACAAUGGGCGCAAGCCUGAUGCAGCCAUGCCGCGUGUAUGAAGAAGGCCUUCGGGUUGUAAAGUACUUUCAGCGGGGAGGCGUUACCCGCAGAAGAAGCACCGGCUAACUCCGUGCCAGCAGCCGCGGUAAUUC
rnacentral:rRNA from 1 species